CCCCCCCGCCCCUGCCGCGCGCGGCGUGUCACGGCGCGGCCCGCUGCCGCCGCCUCACGGGGACGGGGACGGGGACGGGCGGCUGCCCCUGGCGCCCGGCAGCUAUUUCUGCUACAGCUUCCUGUCCUUGACCCAACGAUACAUUGUGAAGUUCUACUGAGUCAAUGAAUCCUAGUAAAAUGCAGUAAAGGAUUUAAGGUUAUCAUCUGCCUCUCUCUAACUUCUGACAUCUCUUUAUAACAAGAAAGAGUCACAGCCAACUGUAACAGGAGGGCAACACAAUGAAUCCUGCUUCCUAUAAAGUGUUUUUAGACAGCAAUAAAUCCACUUCCCCUCUUGGCCUUUUCAAGGCUGAA